GCUUACGGCCACACCGCCUGGUUCACGCCCGAUCUCGUUUGAUCUCGGAAGCUAAGAUAGGUUGGGCUUGGUUAGUACUUGGAUGGGAGACCGCCUGGGAAUACCAGGUGCUGUAGCUU
rnacentral:rRNA from 1 species